AGUUUAUCGUGUACGCAAGUCAUUGGGUGAAUAAAACCCAAAGGCGAAAUAAAAGUAAAGAGUUGAGUUUAUGAAAAAGAAUUUUAUUCUUUUUAAUUUCUCUCUUAAGGGAAGAUGAAAAUUUAAUUAAUAAUAUAUUUAUAUAUUGUUAAUAUAAAUUUUUCACACUCCCAGGGCGCUUGUUUCACGCUUUGCGUGUCAAUGCGCACCUAGAGCGUACACGCUGAUACCCGAAAGAUGGUGAACUAUGCCUGGCCAGGACGAAGCCAGGGGAAACCCUGGUGGAGGUCCGCAGCGAUUCUGACGUGCAAAUCGAUCGUCGGAGCUGGGUAUAGGGGCGAAAGACCAAUCGAACCAUCUAGUAGCUGGUUCCCUCUGAAGUUUCCCUCAGGAUAGCUUGCGCUCGGUUGAGAAGAGUCUCAUCCGGUAGAGCGAAUGAUUAGAGGCAUUGGGGUCGAAACGACCUCAACCUAUUCUCAAACUCCAAAUAGAUGAGACCCCCGGCUUUCUUAAAAUUGAAGCCGUGGGAAUAGGAUCAGAGUGCCAAGUGGGCCAAUUUUGGU
rnacentral:rRNA from 1 species